AGCCCCGUAGUGUAGCGGUCAAUCAUGCGGGACUCUGGAUCCUGCGACACCAGUUCGAAUCUGGUCGGGGCUACCA
rnacentral:tRNA from 1 species